GUGGACCACUCGUAGAUUUCGGUUCCUUCGCGCCGUACACACUUCAGCUGACGACUGCUCGCUACGUUUUGUUAGCC
rnacentral:sRNA from 1 species